rnacentral:rRNA from 1 species
GACGAACCGUCCUAACGUUGUUCGGAAUCACUGGGCUUAAAGGGCGCGUAGGCGGGCCACAAAGUCCGGGGUGAAAUCUUUCGGCUCAACCGGAAAAUAGCCUUGGAUACUGGUGGUCUGGAGGGUGGUAGGGGCAUGUGGAACUUCCGGUGGAGCGGUGAAAUGCGUUGAUAUCGGAAGGAACGCCGGUGGCGAAAGCGACGUGCUGGACCACUUCUGACGCUGAGGCACGAAGGCCAGGGGAGCAAACGGG